AACGAACGCUGGCGGCAGGCCUAACACAUGCAAGUCGAGCGAGAUCUUCGGGUCUAGCGGCGGACGGGUGGUAACCGCGUGGGAUUAUGCCUCUGGGUCGGAAAUAGCCUCGGGAACCGGGGGGAAUUACGUUAUUGGCCCUUUGGGGGAAAGAUUUAUCGCCAAGGGAUUAGCCCGCGUUGGAUUAGGUAGUUGGUGGGGUAAUGGCCUACCAAGCCGACGAUCCAUAGCUGGUUUGAGAGGAUGAUCAGCCACACUGGGACUGAGACACGGCCCAGACUCCUACGGGAGGCAGCAGUGGGGAAUCUUAGACAAUGGGGGCAACCCUGAUCUAGCCAUGCCGCGUGAGUGAUGAAGGCCUUAGGGUUGUAAAGCUCUUUCAGCUGGGAAGAUAAUGACGGUACCAGCAGAAGAAGCCCCGGCUAACUCCGUG
rnacentral:rRNA from 1 species